rnacentral:misc_RNA from 1 species
CGCAGCCGCGGUAAUUCCAGCUCCAAUAGCGUAUAUUAAAGUUGUUGCAGUUAAAAAGCUCGUAGUUGAACUUCGGGGUUUACUCAUUGGUCAGGCUUAAUUGUCUGUACUGGUGAGAUGAAUCUCUACCUUCUGAGGAACUUUCAUGCCAUUUAUUUGGUGUGGUUGGAAAUCAGGACUGUUACUUUGAAAAAUUAGAGUGUUUAAAGCAGGCUAACGUCUGAAUACAUUAGCAUGGAAUAAUGAAAUAGGACGGAUUGAUUCUAUUUCGUUGGUUUCUAGGGUCACCGUAAUGAUUAAUAGGGAUAGUUGGGGGCAUUAGUAUUCAAUUGUCAGAGGUGAAAUUCUUGGAUUUAUUGAAGACUAACUACUGCGAAAGCAUUUGCCAAGGAUGUUUUCAUUAAUCAAGAACGAAAGUUAGGGGAUCGAAGACGAUCAGAUACCGUCGUAGUCUUAACCAUAAACUAAUGCCGACUAGGGAUCGGACGCAGUUAAUUUUAU